ensembl:lncRNA
GAUAUCAAGCCCCGCCCCCUUUGUUUCCUCUCGGGUACCACCAGAGCCGCUGGAUCUACGACGAAGAGGCUGACGUGAAGGCUGUGGACGCUGGAUUCGACCGCCACGACAUCCCGUGCGACGUUAUCUGGAUGGAUAUCGAGCACACGGAGGGGAAGCGUUACUUCACCUGGGACGCCGCGCUUUUCCCCCCAACCGGCCAACCUGCAGCGCCACCUGGAGGAGAGGAAGAGGAAGUUGGUCGUGAUAACCGAUCCUCACAUCAAGAUCGACCCCGGUUGGUGUUUGUCUAAUGAGGCCAGAGAUGGGGGGCACUUCAUCAAGAACAGAGACGGGCAGAUCUAUGAGGGGUCUCGUUGGCCUGGUCCUGUUUGCUGCCUUACUGGUUCACUCUGUUCCACCUGGCUCACACCUCCGUCUGCCUCCCUCUGCUGCCCAGUGGAAGUACUGCAGGCUGUUUGUCCACUUUACCUUCUGCUUUCUGACACUAGAGGUCCAUGUUUGUCAUGUUUUAAGUUGGUCAUUAAAACAUCAGUAGAUCCACUUUUAUAGAAGAGCUUAUGGAAAUGCUUGUUUUAUUCAAACGCGCACAGACCUCUCUGGGUGGAGUUCCCAGGAGAACAGAG